GACGUAGGUGGCGAACGUUAUCCGGAAUUAUUGGGCGUAAAGGGUGCGUAGGUGGCCUGACAAGUUAUCAGUGGCAAAUCGAGGCUCAACCUCGUGGAAACUGGUAAUACUGUUCGGCUUGAGUACAGGAGAGGUUAACGGAACUCUAUGUGGAGCGGUAAAAUGCACAGGUAUAUAGAAGAACAUCAAUAAAAGGCGAAGGCAGUUAACUAUUCUGUUACUGACGCUGAGGCACGAAAGCGUGGGGAGCAAAACGG
rnacentral:rRNA from 1 species